CAGAAGUAGGUAGUCCUAACCGCAAGGGAGGGACGCUUACCACGGGUGGUGGCCGAUGACUGACCGUGAAGUCGUAACAAGGGUAGCCGUAGGGGAACCUGCGGCUCGAUCACCUCCUUAACGAAAGAUUGACGAUUGGUAAGAAUCCACAACAAGUUGUUCUUCAUGACGAUGUAUCUGAGGGUCUGUAGCUCAGUUGGUUAGAGCACACGCUUGAUAAGCGUGGGGUCACAAGUUCAAGUCUUGUCAGACCCACCAAAUCUGACUAACAAGCAUUGUUAAAUGCUGAAUACAGAAAACAGAAACAUUGACUUAUUGAUAAGCUGGGGACUUAGCUUAGUUGGUAGAGCGCCUGCUUUGCACGCAGGAGGUCAGGAGUUCGACUCUCCUAGUCUCCACCAUAUAUUAUAAAACUUAAUAAGUGCUAGCUUAUUAACUUCUGUGAUUUAUCGCAGUUUCCUGACCUGACGAAGGCUGGAAAAAUCAUUAACAGAAUAUAUUUGAGUUGAAAUAAUUUGUUCAUACUCGUUUUUAAGAUCGACAUUAUCGGUGAUUUAUUACUGGAUGAUGAAGAUUAAAGAAAUGAGUUACUAGCGAAAUUAACUGAAUCAAGCGUUUUGGUAUGUGAAUUGAAUUGAAGCUGAACAGUGUUUAAGUACACUGAACAACUAACUGUAAGGAAGAGAUUAGAAAUCUUCAUAGACUGUCUUAUCCCACUUGUAUGGAUUACCGACUGA
rnacentral:rRNA from 1 species